GUUUAUUAUUAACGCCACUCCUCUUUUUAAUACAUUUAUAUGUAUAUUUUUUUUAAACAAGGUAUUGUAAAUAUGUAGUGAUAUAUAUAUAUAUAUAUAUAUAAAUGUUUGUACACGUGUGAGUGUUUGUUUGCAUGCUUUUUUUUAUAUGUCUUGAUAUAUCAUAAAACGACAGCUUAGUACAUAUAUUUACAUAUGUAUAUGAAUAUAUUUAAACUUUUUACGCAUAUAUAUUAAUAUAUAUAUAUAUAUAUAUAUAUAUAUAUACUAAUUUUGUAUACAUACAUAUUAAUUUAUAUAAAGUACUUUUACGAAGUAUAACUUUUUAUAUAUUAAAAAACAAUCAUAAUGUGUUAGUACAUUAUGUUAUGUUUCUUUAUAUAUAUAGAUAUACACGUAAGCGUAUUAGGUACAUACGUAUGUUUGUAUAUGUAUUAAGCAAACUGAUUGACUCUGAGAUAGUUCCACUGCCAAAAAAAAAAAAAAAAAAAAAAAAAAAAAAAGUAUAAUCACAUUUUUAAUAAAACAUUUGUAAAAGUGUGAUCAGACGCGUACAUACAUACAUACAUGCAUACGUACGUACUUACGUAAGUAAACACAUUUACAAAGUAAUAUAAACAUUUUUGAAUAUACUUCCAUUUUAUUUUUUUUUUUGUUGUCACACUGAAAGAUGUAAGUAUGAAUAUAAUAAACUAUAUAUAUAACAAAGGUAAGAAUAUAUAUAAUAGAAACGUUAAUAAUACAUAUAAUUACAAAGAUAUAGAAAAUGAAAACUUAAUUAGUAGUUUCACGGAUGAUAAUAAAAGCUGCAGCAAUCAUAGUUGUUCGAUUUCAGCCUCUAGCAGUUUAGUUAUGAAUUAUGAAAAUGGGUAUAUAAAAAAAAUAAAAGAAGGUAAAACAGGAAUUGAAGAAGGGGCAGAAGAAGAGGCAGAAGAAGGAGCAGAAGAAGGAGCAGAAGAAGAUGAGAAUGUAAAUACAAAUGGAGAAGAAGAAAACUAUAUAUAUACGAAUAAUGAAACUGAAGAAAGUGAUACUAUAAAAUGUAAAAAAAAAAAAAAAUCGUCUAUUAAAGACAACAGCAGCAACAAUGAAAGCGACAACAAUAGAUGUAACACUAGUCACGUUAAAAAGAAUAAAUCAAAUUAUGAAUUUAAUAUAGAUUACAUAGGUUUCGACACAAAAGUUUAUAAAAAUAGAUGUGACGGUGUUUGUGUUUUAAAUGAUAAUAUAUACAUCUUUGAUAAGAUAAAAAAAUGUAUUUAUUUAUAUACACCAUAUAAUAAUGUUUGGUAUAUAUUUUUAAAUAUAUAUGAAGAGUUAUCUGUAAUUAAUAAAUGUACUAAUUUUGAUAUGUCGAUUUUACACGAUAAAACAAAUGAUGACGAACUGAAUAAACAAAAUAAAAUAUUAUAUUUAAAAAACAUAAAUAACAUUUCUUUUACUAAUUAUACUGACAUUGUUUAUUUGAAUGAUUAUAUAUUUAUUAUUAGUAGUAAUUCUAAUUUUAUGAAUAUGUGUAAAAUUAAUGUACAUACUAUGAAUACAAUAUUCUGUUUAAUUUUAAUUGAUUCGCCUUAUAAAAAUGUAUCAAAUUUUUCGUAUGUAUUUAAUAUGUUAAAAAAAGAAAAAACAUAUAUUGAACAAGUUACUGAAGAUUUAAAUGCAUCAAUACUGGAAAAAGAAAAGUAUAAAAAAAAAGUAAAAAAAAAAAUCGAGAAUAGAAAUAAUGCAAAACAGGAGACAUUGAUAGAAAGUGCACAAGAUAGUGAUAGUGUGCACAUAGGUCUGGGUAAAAAUAGGAUUACUGUUAGGGGAGUAACUAGAGAUAUUAUUAGGACUACGGAUUGUGGAAUUAACAGUACGAAUGACAGUAGCAAUGACGGUAGUAUUGACGGUAGCAAUGACGGUAGUAAUGACGGUAGCAAUGACGGUAGUAAUGACGGUAGUAAUGACGGUAGCACUAACCUGUUUGUAAAAGGAACAAACGAAAACAGUAACAAAUUUUGCUUGUUUCCUAAUAGUGGUGAUGAUAAUAUUAAGGAUUAUGAAUAUAUUAAUGGCGUAUCCGAAUUUUAUGAUUUUUUAAAAAAUGAGAAAAAUAGUUAUAAAAAAAAAAAGAGAUUAAUGAAGACAAGAGAUUAUUUUUCAAUUUGUAGUGUUACUGAUAAUUUACGUUGCUUAAUUUAUUUGUUUGGUGGUAAAGGAAAUACAAUAAAAGAAAAUAAUGAAUACAUUGAUAUUAUAUAUAACGAUUUGUAUGUAUAUGAUUUUUAUAAAGAUAGAUGGUUAGAGUUAUAUGAAUAUCAAUCUGUUUCUGAUGUAGAAUGUUAUGAAAAUAACAAUCUUGAAUGUUGUCAAGUAGAUUUAGGUAGUGAUACAUCGUAUAAUAUUAAACGCAACGACAUUGAUAGUAAACAAUAUGAUGAGUAUAUAAAUGAAUUAGAAAAUUGUUAUAAAAAAGACGAUGUAUAUUUAGAACCUAGUAAAACAUUAGAAAAAAUGAUUAAUUUAAAAAAAGAAAAACAUAAUUUAUUUGCAUAUAGUGAAACUGGUAAUAGAAAAGGAGAAAUUGUUAAUAAUAUAAAUAAGGAAGAUAAUAUAAGUUUUUUGAAUUAUACAUCAAGUAGUAUUUCUAGUAAUAAAGGUGGAUAUGACAACAAAAGGAGAAGUAGCAACCGUAGUGAUAAUAGCAACAACUACAAUGUCACAUUAAUCAAUUUGGAUUCCCAAAGUAUAGUAAGUGAUGAUAUAACACAUACCAACGAUGACACAUUGUGGCAUGUAGAUAAAAAAAAAACAGAAGAUUUUGUUAAAAAAAAAAAUAGUAAUAUAAAAGUAUCAAAAGUUGAUAACGUUUUAAAAUAUGAUGGAGUUUGUUCCAAUUGUUUAAAAAACAAGAAAUGUACUUACAUAUGUAAUAUGCUAAAAAAUAAUAUAAAAAUAAAAAGAAUACCAUGGUUAGAAAAAAGAGCUGGACAUACAUGUGUUUAUUAUAAAAACAAUUUAUAUAUUUUUGGUGGUAUUGAUUUUUAUAGUUUUAAUAAGAAUAAUAUAAAUUUAAACUUUUCUAAUGAUUUAUUUUUAUAUAAUAUAGAAAGUAAUAAAUGUUUUGAAAUUAAAGGAAAAGGAACAUUACCAGAAAAAAGAUAUAGACACAGUGCUGUCGUAUUAAAUGAUUGUAUGUUUGUAAUUGGAGGGGAGUGUGCUAGUUCUACUUUACCUACUAAUGAUAUUUAUUAUUAUAAU
ensembl:lncRNA